GAUGAACGCUGGCGGCGUGCCUAACACAUGCAAGUCGAACGAGGUAAAUGAGAUGAAGUUUUCGGAUGGAUUCUUAUUUACCGAGUGGCGGACGGGUGAGUAACGCGUGGGUAACCUGCCUCAUACAGGGGGAUAACGAUUGGAAACGAUUGCUAAUACCGCAUAAGCGCACAGUACCACAUGGUACAGUGUGAAAAACUCCGGUGGUAUGAGAUGGACCCGCGUCUGAUUAGCUAGUUGGUGAGGUAACGGCCCACCAAGGCAACGAUCAGUAGCCGACCUGAGAGGGUGACCGGCCACAUUGGGACUGAGACACGGCCCAGACUCCUACGGGAGGCAGCAGUGGGGGAUAUUGCACAAUGGAGGAAACUCUGAUGCAGCGACGCCGCGUGAGUGAAGAAGUAUUUCGGUAUGUAAAGCUCUAUCAGCAGGGAAGAAAAUGACGGUACCUGACUAAGAAGCCCCGGCUAACUACGUGCCAGCCGCCGCCGUAA
rnacentral:rRNA from 1 species